rnacentral:lncRNA from 1 species
GUGUUCAAGGAUAUGGUAUCUGAGAUCAUCGGGGAUCUAUCGCCACCUUCAUCAUCAUCCAUGAUGCUUAGGAGGAAGCUGGUUUUCUGAGGAAAAGAAUGAAGGAAAAUUCUCUGUUUCACGUGGGAAGUACUGAUAUUUCAUGUGCAAGUGCAUUGUUGUGUGUUACUUUUCCUCUCUUUUUUUUAUCAUUGGAAAUGCUGAUUUAUUCUGAAAACAAUUCUAACGGUUACUUUUUCACUUUUUGCUAGAUUAUUGUAAACAAAAAAAUCGAAAUAAUAGUUGUAAAAAAAUGCCAAAAAUCAAGAUUCCGAGGUACUCUGCCUAUCUUUGGCUGUGGGUUGGCAUGUGCUUGUAGAGUUGUUAUAUUUGAGACAAAGGAAACGUGGGUGUAAAGGGCAAAAAGGCGUGGCCUUUUUGGGACAAUAACCAUUGUUUAAUGUGUUAGAAUUUAAGAUUUUUGAGUGUACUUAGUUUUUCUUAUCAAUAAAUCUAUGCAGCCACUUCGUACUGUCAAAAGAUAAAUAUCAAGGAAGUAGAUGAAUUUACUCCUCUUACCUAUACUUAUUGCCGAAGCAAAUCUACAAGUAGUAUUAGAAAAGUAAAUAAGGGUGAAUUUGAUAGUUUAACAUCAAAAUUUCGGUCCCAAAUGGAACAUUCAAGCCGUGCCAAGUCACCCCUGUAUGUGAAUAUCCAGAUUUAGGGAUAAAAUUCAACGCUCUCCUUCCUUAGAAAAACUAAAAUAAAAUCGAAACAUAGCAUUUAUUUGAGAUUUUUGUUUUCUUAGUAUGAUAGGUGUGUGUUGAUGAUUGAAUUUGAUUGGGGUGUGGCUAUGAAAGUGGAUAGUGAUGAUCAUGUGGGAAUGUACACUUCGCCAGGUCUAUUUUUGCAGGCCUUUGAACCUACUCAAACAAGGUGUGGUCUCUUUUGACUAACAUCUUAUGCUACUAUUAUUCUGACUAGCAUGGGGUAAUUUUAUGGCAAAAUAUACUGUUAUAUCCCAAAUUACUACUCCCUCCGUCCCAAAGGAGAUGUCCUCCUUCUUUUGGGCACGGUUAUUAAGGAUGCAUAAUCUGCCUAAUCUAGUAGAAUAUUAAGGAAAUUUCAGUUUUUACUAGAUUAGGCAGCAUAUAAGAUUCAAUGACAGAUUAUGCAUCAUUUCAGUUUCUACUAGAUUAGGCAGAUUAUGCAUCCUUAAUAACCGUGCCCAAAAGAAGGAGGACAUUUCCUUUGGGACGGUGGGAGUACUAUCGUAUUUUUAGAAAUAUUUUAUUUUUAUAUAUAUAAAGAACACACUACUUAGGUAAGAUUUAUACAGGUAUAAAAUUGAUAAUCGACAAAAGCAGCCGAUAAUGAUUCCAUCAAUGAACGCACAUGGCGAAGAAGAUAUAAUGUGAAGAAACGAUGUAAAUAAAAUGUUCAACUCGUCGUGUAUAUACAUAUAUAUAUAUAUAUAUAUGCUAGUAUAUCAUUAUAUCUUUUUUAUGUAGUUUUAAGGCAUAUAUAAAUAUAAUACUAUUUUAUUUUGAAUUAAUAAUACUUUGGAUAACUUUGUUCAUGUGUAUAAUACAUAAACUACAUAUUGUUCAUGUGUAUAAUACAUAAACUACAUAUAACAUAUAAACGGAGUUGAUUUCAAGUAUACCUUCGAGCCUAGAUUGUGAGAGGCUCCCUCAUCAUUGGGAAUAAAAUACAAUAGUGUAAUAGUACUCCUUCUAUCUCAUAACAAUUUAUUGAUUUUUUUUGAAUCGUCCCAAUUAAGUUGAUCGAUUUUAUUCCAUAACUCUAUUAACUUUAUUAUCAAAUAUAAUUUAAAUAUUGCAAACACAAAUUACUUAAUUCUCGUGCCGGAAAAAAAAAUGAUCAAGUUAAAUGGGAGAGAAAGAGAGAGGGUGUAAAUGGGUGCGGAAAUAAUUGUGAGUGGUGUAAUAAUAUGGGUGUUCAUAUCCCUAGACUACGUGCUAGUAUAGCAGGGCUAGUGAUAUAGAUAUUGAUUAUCUCUAGAUGCCCUCCAUGAUUGAUAUAUGGCAAUUCAAAAACAGAAAUGGAUCCUACACACAUCAUGCGCAGCUAACACCCCAUGUGAAUAUGGGGAAUACAAUCAUUCAUUGUAAAUUUGAUUUUGCAACACAAAUAUUUGUAAAUUCUUUUUAAUUAAAGCACAUCUGAGUAAAGAUGUGGGGAAUCAAAACUUCAUGUCUCACAUUGAAGAUGCACUAUUCAUAUGCACACACAACCGCAGACCAUAAUGAAAUUUCUAGUUGGAAGAGUGUAAAAGAUGGUACUUAGUUGGUGGAGUCGUUGAGCACGUGACUAAAAUAUUUGAAUUUUAAGAUGAAUUAAGCUCAUUGUACAAUAUUUGUUUAGUGCAAUGUAUCUUUUAUGCAUGUAGUUCAUAAACUACGGUACAUCCAUGACUCUAUUUGCAAUAAUAAUAAUAAUAAUAAUAAUAAUAAAUAUUCCAAAGUCGGAUAUCAGGAUAUGAAUAUUAAUCUCUCAUAUGCCGACUCAAAAAAAUCUAGGAAGACGGACAUGAAUAUUUAUUGUAUUCGUCUCAUUUGUAUCUAUUAAUCAUUCAUUUCUGUAAUAAUCAAAAAAUGUUAAAACUAAAAGUGUAUUUAUGUGAGAAGAUGGGAACAAUAAUUUUAUUAAGGCCUUUAUGUCCCACCACUUAUUUUUCGAAUGGCCCGUCUCAUUAUCCUAUCUCGCAAACAAUAGAUAUAUAAAAAAGAGAACCACUGCUUAUUACUACUCCCUCCGUCCAUGAAAGAACUUCCUAGGAGGAAGUAGCACAGAUUUUAAGAAAAAAUAUUAUUGAGUGUAUUGAGAGUGGAUAAAAGGUAGUUGAGUGUAUUGGGAGUGGUGAAAAUGUGUUAUAAUUAAUAUUGAGAGUUGUGAAAAGUGAAAAGUAAGAGGAUUAUAAGUGGUGGAUUGGUGGGGUAUAGUCCAAAAAUAGGUAGAAAGUUCUUUUGUGGACGUCCCAAAAAGGAAAGAUAGGAAGUUCUUUCGUGGACGGAUGGACUAUAUUUUAUCUUCCAAACUUCAUCAUAUUAUUAUUAUUAAUUAAUAAUAAUAAAAUUAUUAAUUCAAUUAUUAAUUAUAUUAAUAUAUGUAUAAAUUUAUGUAUAUGUAAUUAUUUUGCUUCAAUUGUUUUUAUGUAAGUUGACCAAUAUGAUAAAAUAUUAUUAUGAUGUUUAAAAUAUAUUUUUUAUAAAUACAUAUAAAAUGUAUACCUAUGUAUUAUUUGAAUGAAUUUAGAGGAAAUACACGUCCACACAUACCUGUAGAUAUAUGAAUAUUUAUUAAUUUUUUAUGUAGUAAACUUUGAAAUAUAUUACAUUUCCAUUUGUUCUUCUUGCAAUUAAAUAAUUAUUAUUUUCUUAAAGUAUUUAACUAUUAAGAAAUUUGAAUUUAAUCCCCAUUUUUAUUUACAUUAGUUCUAUAUUAUUUUUCAAGUUAAAAACUAGUAUAUAUAGAUUCAAUAUAUUAUUACAAUUAAAUAAUAUUUUAACAGUUAAAUCAAUACCACAAUAUUAAUUUUUUUGUUACAACUGAUAAAUUAUGAAGCCGUUUAUAUUUAUAUAGUAUAAUAAAAUUUUAAAAAGUAUAAAAUAUUUUCUAUGCAAUGUACGAAGGGAAAAUCUAGUUCUAAUUAAAUAACACGAAGUAUAUUUUUUUCUCUCUCGCCACAACACAAAGGAGCACGAAGGGAUGAAGCAAGCAAAAGAAAGAGGAAAAAUGUUAGAAUAACAUCAUUAAAAUGUUCUCUUUUAUACACAAAAAGGCUAAUUAUUCUAUUUAAGACAGUUAAAGACUUAAAGUUAGACCACCAUUUAAACAAACUGCAGAUGUGUGUGUGUGUUUAUGGAAUUUGCCGUAUCAUGUGAUUGUGUAUAUAGUAUUUUAUGCGUUUAAUUGAUUCCAAACAUCAAAUUGGAGCAGCCCAAUGGGCCAGUUUGGGGUACCCGAAAAAUAGGAUUGGGCUAAGAAAAUAGAAGCUCAAAAGUAAUUGGGCCUAAAAAGCCCAUCCACGUGGCCCACCGAACCACUCAGAUUUCAAGCUAGAAACUGCAGACGAAUUUUAGUGUUUAGAUAUGAGUUAUAUUUGAUUUGAAGCAAAGAAACAGAGGCAAAGCAGAUUGAUAAUUGAGCAGCACAUGCUAGCCACCCAUCUCAAUCCAUCAAACUUCGAAAGAAAACAAUUAGUUUUGUUGUAAAUUAUUAACGAUCUCCUUAACUCAUGCAAAUCUAUAAAUACAUGCAAAUUUAGACUGUGCUUCUAAAGUGCGAAAAUUCAAGUAAGAGUGUGAAGAGAGAAUACACACAAUAAAACACACCAAAACAAUUGGCCAAAAUGCCCAUUUAUAGCCAGAAAAACUGCCUAGCUAAUUCCUUCUAUAUAUAUAUAUAUAUAUGCAUCUUUUUUUUGUAGGCAUAAGUUUAAUAACAAGAAGAUUGAAAAUCCAAAACGACGACGUACAUUUAUUUUGGUGCGCUACUUUUCCAUCGAAAAUCAUCUAACAAUUUACAAGAUAAAAGAAAAUUAGAAUAUUGGGCGAGUUAGGCCAUGCGCGAUGUCUGAUGUUAGGCCUUGCCCCUUGGAUUGCUACUACCUCAUCAAAUUUGCUUGCUUGUUCCAAACAAACAUACUUGUCAUUCUCUAUUUUUAUGGCAUUUUCUACUUUGACAUUCUCACAUAAAGAACCAAAAAUAUGUUCAUACUUGCCGGGCAGAGCAAUAUGGCCGGAGAAUGCCGUAUUGCCUUGCCAAGGUAUAUGGCAUUCGCCGAUCAUAUUGCUCUGACCGGCUAGUAUGACUACAUCUUUUGUGCUCUAGAGAGCCAAAAUGGAAGAAGUCAUAAUAAGUAAUAGAGAAUGGCAAGCAUGUAUGUUUGGAAUGGU